rnacentral:lncRNA from 1 species
UGCAUGUUAGGUAUUCUUGGACAUAGGUCUGAGUGCAUGCCCGUCAAACACUGAAUAAGACUGAUGAUACAUUUCAAGAUUCAUUUUAAGAUCACCAUCCAUAUAUCUCUAUAUCAAUGCCUGUGAUUGAAUAGGUCUCAUGAUACAUGUAUUUUAGAACAAGUUUUUCUCAGUCACACGGCACUCUGUAAUAAUGGUACAUGGUCUAGAAUACAUUAAAUUGGCAAAUAGGGUUUUCCUUUAAAUUGGAUUGGCCAC